rnacentral:lncRNA from 1 species
UUUCGACAAUGUGUUUGAAUAGCAAGCAAAAGUACCACGACCGAACAAUUUAAUUCGGUUAACAAACGACUUCUAGAAUGAACUACAUCCAUCAACCGGCAUACCUUUCUUCUCGUAACUACGAUCUGUCUUCGGUGUUGAUAUGAUCUUUCUAUCAAGAAAAGAUCGGGAAUUGCCGCUAGGCUUUUCUUUUAGCUCUCACUCAUCCCGGGCGAUUCUUUUUAUUUUUUUCUUUGUCACUAAGGAAGGAGUAGUUGUGGCUUUUGACCAAGAGAACGAGCUAGACAGAAAAGGUACCACCGAAAGAAGGUCGACCUCACCCCCUUUGGUAAACCAAAGCAGAGAAAGAGGAAGAAGCAAAGCUAGGCCAUUCGAUUAGGGAUGUUCUCACCUAUGCGUACUCUCUUGAAUAAGGAAUCUAAAAAAGAACCUUAUUCUUUUUCGCAUCUCCCAAGUUCGAAUGCUUUUAUGCUGUUAAAAGAAAUCGAAUACCAUUCGUGACCCAAUUCAAAAAACGGAGUGACUGAAGACCUCCUCCCCCUUUCCCGCCUAUCCCUCCCGCAAGAGAGGACUCGUUCUGGCUUUAAAGAGCCUCUUUUUUAGCAGUCUCGCCCAUAAUAGAAGAUAAGAUUGACCAUCUCUUCUUCCAAGCUUCUUUCUGCUUCUUCUCGGCGUAACGAAAGAACUAGAUGAGGAGAGGCCUCCGGUUUCAAAUCCCUACCCUACGCCUUACGAGGGCGCCCUAGCCUCACUCCCAAGGGUCAAUCAAGCCUUUAAAACUAGUUCAAAUAGUCGUCACAGUCUUCGUUCCUGCUUUCAACGAGACUUUCUUAGCUGCAUCAGCUUGUAAAACUCUCUCUCCUUCACCAGGAAAGGGAGAGCGGACAAAGUACCAGACUCUUUAUUUUGAUUGGGUAAGAAGAGCGUACGAUAAGAGUAAGCAGACGAUGUCGAUAGAAGACGAUUCGUGGGAUCUUAUCUUCCUCAAAGUCAAAGAAAGAGAAAAAUUAGCUAAAGAAAGAAGGUAUGCCCAGCCCAUGGAAUUAUAUGUCGAAUGAGUACGAUUUCGAGCAUAAAUAAAGAGAGAAUAAAAAGUAAGUUUUUAGCAAUAAUCUAGGUUUAGCAAGAUAGCUGCCAGAAAGACUGAGCUUAGGUGCAUAGCGCUUAAAUAAGUGGUGGAAGAGUCGCUUUCCAUCCCGACAAUGACUACUUACUUUUUAUUUUUGGGAUUUAACUUAACUUAAAAGACUGGACUUCAAGCAGCAAUGAGAGCAAAGGCAAGGAAUUGAUGCGCCAAUAAUCGAAGAAUGGGGCAAGGCUAAUUUCCAGACAAUGGCAAGUGCUUGAGAAGGAGCUGUGAAAGAAGGGGCUGCUAGAGAAUAGGGAGCUCUUGAAGAAGAAGGGAUUGCGGGGUGAACGGCAUUCUGUUGUACUACUAACACUAGCUGUACUCGAGUAGUUUAGUAGCGCCUUUUGAAUAAAAUAGGCGAACCCUUUCCGAAAGGCGAACAGCCCGCAUUGCAAGCAAAUAGAUAGCCCCCGCCCCUUUGAGUCGUUGCGAGCCGGAAAGCGUACCGGCAGUUUGAGUCGCGAAAGGGCCGCUUGCUUAAUCUUUAUUUUAUUAUAUUUAUACAAACAAAGAAUAAAAUCAUUUUAUUAUCAAAUUGUUAAUUCCUGGGAAGAGGAAGAAGCAGAUAGAGCAAAGGCCUCCUCUUUCCGUCCACUCUUCCCGAAG